CACGUAGGGUGCGAGCGUUGUCCGGAAUUAUUGGGCGUAAAGGGCGCGUAGGCGGCGCAACAAGUCACUUGUGAAAUCUCCGGGCUUAACCCGGAGCGGCCAAGUGAUACUGUCGUGCUAGAGUGCGGUAGGGGAGACUGGAAUUCCUGGUGUAGCGGUGAAAUGCGCAGAUAUCAGGAGGAACACCGGUGGCGAAGGCGGGUCUCUGGGCCGUAACUGACGCUGGAGGAGCGAAAGCGUGGGGAGCGAACAGG
rnacentral:rRNA from 1 species